CUAAGGUUAUAGGUGCGUGAGCGAAACGUGAACCUAUAGCGAUGGCGGAGGUUGAAUCGAUUGGGUCGAAGUUGGUAUAGGUCUCUAGUUGUGAUUAGAGACGGAUUCGAGUUGUAUGAGUUCUCGACUUGAGGUGGUUGUGUCGGCGGCCGACGACAUGAUGCCAAGAGUCUAGGACGAGUACGCUUGUGUGCUUCCGCCCGAUUUUGUUGCUGAGUCGUCGUGUGUCGUGAUUCCGACGAGGAAGUUGGUUAAAGUGAUUAACCAAGUGGUUGCGUUUCAGGAGCUAUGGCACCGAAUAGACGCCCAAGUACGAGAUCCACUCCGACACCGCCACCCGAGGUGCCCGAGCAGACGGAGCCGAGCAUGAUGGAUCGGCUGCAGGCGCAAGUGACCGC
rnacentral:lncRNA from 1 species